AGCAUGUGGGUGCGGAUCACUAGCCAAGAUUUUCUGGGUCCGUCUGUUAAAUCAUUUCCCUGCCGUUGCAGGAGGCCGGAGGUGCCGGUGCACCUCAGUCCCUCCCGUUUUCUGCCUGUGGCACAUAACGCCGCUUCCUGUGGGCUGUAAUUGGUCUCAUUUCAGUCGUUAGGUGCAGCAUGCGGGUGCUGGGAUGUGGUGUUCUUGGCCUGUGGCACGCAGGAGGUCAGACUACAUGACCUAGCCGGUCCCUUCUGGCCUUCGAUUCUACGAUUCCAUGCUUCUGAGCACAGACGAGAGAGAUGGCGGGGGGCUGAAAGAAGAGAUGAAAGCCCUCACGCCACGAACGCGACUGCCCUUUAGCUGGAACAGGAGAGGCCCGAGUUUUUGCUGCAGAAAUUCAGUCUGUUCAUGGGCUUGGAUGGACUUCUGCACAGGUGACCUGCUCGAACACUCUGCACUCUGAGAAGAUGAGAUGCCCUGAGGGCGAUGUCGUUCCAGAUGCAGACGCACCAGAGGAUAAUGGGCUGAUUAAGACCCAGCUGUGCAAACAGGGACUGGCUCUGACGGACGCUGUUUGUCACUUGAUGCGACCACAAAUCAACCAGUCGUCCAGAGAUGGGAAUAUCUGAGUCACCUGAGAUGUACUGCUACCUCUACCAUGCACUUUGUGAGACUUCUUGGGACUGAUGAGAGGUAGUGGUCGUCCCAUACUAAAAACCUGAAGUACUUUCUGUGGCUUGGGUGGAUAACCGCAUCAAAAUAGGAAUCCUGUUGGUCAAUGUACCAAUCUCUGGGAUUUAAGGAUGGGGAAACGGAGGCAGGGGACACCAUCCUGAAUUUUUGCUUAUUGGUAAGAUGUUCAACUUCCUUAAGUCUAGGAACCCCUCUCAUUUGGGGUGAAAAUAUCAGGAGUAGAACUGACUUCCCUAUGGUAUAAAGGGCCCCCUCCCCUCCAAGAGCUAGAAGAAACUGCAGCUCUUGACGCAGGACAAUUUUGUGAGGAGGACCCUGAAUAGGGAAAGGGGAGGAUGCUGGGGGUGGGGCAAGAACUGGAAUUGGAGGGUGGAUCCCAGUUCCAUAAGUCUCUAGAACCCACUGAUUAGUGGUUAUGAAGUUCCAGGCAGCAGAGAAGUGGUACGACAGGUUUCCAAAAGGAGGGGAUGGGUUGGGAAGAUCCAGAAUAACUGGUGCGCUGCAGCCAAAUUGGCUGCCUUGAGACUGAUGGGUCGAACAUAUUCAUGCCAAAGCAGAAGGCUUCCUUAGUGGAAAUCUGUGCCACUUUCUGGAGGAGUCAGGUGGAAUGGAGGGCUAACUAUGGUGCUGUCGAGGUUUGCCUUGCCUCCUCUUGGGGGCUAGCUACUCACGUACGUAGCCAGGGUCCCGGGCGGGGCUGUACAGCCCAUGCUGCUGCCCAGCUUGCUGUGGCUUUACUCCUGCUGUUCUUCCACUAAUUAGAUCAAUGCUCCAUCUGCUGCCCUCCCACCUCUGAUUGCGGUGGAGACAUACCCUUUGAGAAGAACUCUCAGAUACUACAUUUGUCCCUACCAUGCCCUUCACCUAAACAGAUGAGAAAGGCUCCACUUUUUAUUCACAGAAAAUUGUUAUACAUUUAAUGGCAGAGGUGUGGGAAAAGAAGGAAGGAUUGGAUAGUGAGGCCACGCCGCAGCGGCUGCCCCGUCCCAGGGGGCUGGGCCUGGGUCCCCACUCCAGGUGUUGCAAGCUGGCCCACGUGGUUGCAGUGCCACCUCGCAUUGGCAAAUCCACCCCUCCGUGGAUGGAGAUGGGGGUGGACGGCCAGAUUUGUUUGGCAUUGAGACCUAACACGCUGGGUCGCAAAGCAAUUCAGGUCUGACACAUCCACCCCUCCAUCUACAGCAGGGCGGGUGCAUGAAACCUGUAUGGUGCUGUGACCAUGUGGGCCAGGUCGCAAUGCCCGGAGGGAGAGGCGUCGCCACUGUGUGGGUCAUGGGUUCUAUUCAAGUUCACGAUUACCAUGAGCACCACACCAAACUCACAGCCUGACAGAGGAGGCAUCUCGUAUGCCUGCCAUUAACAGGCACGAGUGCCUGGCAACCUUUAGAGACAUGUUAGAUACGUGUGUAAAUGGCCAUUAGGGCCAUUUUGCGUUAGGUACGGUAGAGUUUGAAAAUAGAAAUACAAGUGUACAAGACUUGGGAGGAGAUGUGGUUAGAUGAUUAACAAAGAAAGCGAAUGGUUCCUGUAGUCUGUAAAUUGCAAGAUCAAAAGGAAAUAUUAACACUGAGAAGAAACUUCGGUGCAAUAAUGUCAUUGUAUCUCUCUUUAAAGUUUGCGGUAAAUUGUC